UACAGAGGGGGCAAGCGUUGUUCGGAAUUACUGGGCGUAAAGGGCGCGUAGGCGGCCUGUUAAGUCGAACGUGAAAUCCCUGGGCUCAACCCAGGAACUGCGUCCGAUACUGGCAGGCUUGAAUUCGGGAGAGGGAUGCGGAAUUCCAGGUGUAGCGGUGAAAUGCGUAGAUAUCUGGAGGAACACCGGUAGCGAAGGCGGCAUCCUGGACCGAUAUUGACGCUGAGGCGCGAAAGCCAGGGGAGCAAACGGG
rnacentral:rRNA from 1 species